CGCCUUGUGUCCCGGCUGACCACAGCGAA
rnacentral:sRNA from 1 species